rnacentral:rRNA from 1 species
UUUUUGAAUUUAAUAUAAAGUCUAGCCUGCCCACUGAAAUUAUUAAAUGGCCGCAGUAUUCUAACUGUGCAAAGGUAGCAUAAUCAUUAGUCUUUUAAUUAAAGGCUGGAAUGAAUGGUUGGAUGAGAUAUUAACUGUUUCAUAUAAAUUUAUAGUAGAAUUUAAUUUUUUAGUAAAAAAGCUAAAAUAUGAUUAAAAGACGAGAAGACCCUAUAAAUCUUUAUAUAAAAAUAAUUUUAUUUAUAUUGAUAAAUUUAAUUAGAAUUAAAUUUUAUAUUUUAUUGGGGUGAUAUUAAAAUUUAAUAAACUUUUAAUUUAUAAUGUACAUAAAUUAAUGAAUUAAUGAUCCAUUUUUUAUGAUUAAAAAAUUAAGUUACUUUAGGGAUAACAGCGUAAUUUUUUUAGAGAGUUCUUAUUGAUAAAAAAGAUUGCGACCUCGAUGUUGGAUUAAGAUAUAAAUUUAGGUGCAGUAGCUUAAACUUAAAGUCUGUUCGACUUUUAAAUUCUUACA